rnacentral:ncRNA from 2 species
UCUAGUGAGUUUAUUAGAUCAUUAAUGC